rnacentral:rRNA from 1 species
GACGAACGCUGGCGGCGUGCUUAACACAUGCAAGUCGAACGGAAAGGCCCUGCUUUUGUGGGGUGCUCGAGUGGCGAACGGGUGAGUAACACGUGAGUAACCUGCCCUUGACUUUGGGAUAACUUCAGGAAACUGGGGCUAAUACCGGAUAGGAGCUCAUGCUGCAUGGUGGGGGUUGGAAAGUUUCGGCGGUUGGGGAUGGACUCGCGGCUUAUCAGCUUGUUGGUGGGGUAGUGGCUUACCAAGGCUUUGACGGGUAGCCGGCCUGAGAGGGUGACCGGCCACAUUGGGACUGAGAUACGGCCCAGACUCCUACGGGGGGCAGCAGUGGGGAAUAUUGCACAAUGGGCGGAAGCCUGAUGCAGCAACGCCGCGUGCGGGAUGACGGCCUUCGGGUUGUAAACCGCUUUCGCCUGUGACGAAGCGUGAGUGACGGUAAUGGGUAAAGAAGCACCGGCUAACUACGUG